CAGCGGGCGUGCUGGAGCUGGAGGAGCAAGAAAACGUCGGCUUCCGCGGCCGGCGGCCCGUCGCCCGGCAGAGAGGCCAUCCGCAGUUUCCUGCCGGUGGGGAUGAAUCAGAGGAGGAUAGACAGCCGGGGGUCAUGUUCGAGGUAGUUCCCGCCUGUGGAAGGGAGCGACAUGCGCGGGGAAAGGAGGGAUCAGAGAGGGAUGGCUAUUGCUGGUCCUCGAUCAGCAUGAGGAUCACAGAGAUGGUCUUCGGCGUUGCGUUUACCCCCGUGAUGGCCAUCCGGGUUCACCUGCAAUCCACCAGGUUUGGCCGUCACCGCCAACUGAUGUAGGUUCGAGUCGUUGGAUGUUUUGACAUUUCGUGCAUGGUCUUAUUUAUUCCAUGACCGCAACGCUGCAACAUCAGAUGAAGAGCAGGACCUUAUUCAAGGUAUGAUGCAAAUGGCUUGCAUAAUUUUACUUGUUUAAUCUGUCAAGCCUAUUUAAUGCAGAAGUUGUUUGCUUUCUCCCAGUUAUUUCACUGGCAGCUGGUUAUGUUAGUGCCAUCAGCAAUCACCUUAAUUUGUAAUAUGCAAAGGUAAUCUUGGAUAAUGAUUUAUCUACUCAUGGUUGCAUGCGUGUUAACUCUGUUUAAAUGUGUUCGUCUCCACUCCAGUUAUCUUUUUUCUAACACCUGGCUCAAGGUGCUUAUGGAAAUUUUAUAUCAGUGCAAGGAGAUCUUACGAUUCAUAGGUGUAGGCUUGUCUCUGCUGAAUUGCUUAUUAAUAUUUUCUCCAAGCUUACUGGACGAUAAGGGAGUGACAUUUCGUGUCCAAGGAGAGUAGCAGAUACAUGGGAGAGAGAGUGAGGCUUGUGGUAAUAAGGAGAGCAGCGGGAUGGGAGCCGGCCAGGGGAGGUACAGGCUUGGAUGAGUAGCUAAUGUCCUGAUGAAGAUAGAGAGGGAAGACCACUGGCGUGUACAAGGCGAGUUGAGGUCAACGCCGCUUUGUUCCGGGCACGAGGCAGAGGACAGCGGACCGUCUUGAAUGGGAAUGGGUACCAUUGGGUGGUAAGGAGCACGGGGCAGUCUCUGGAGGGGAAGUCAGGCGGUUGUGGAGCACGGGCCCGUGUGCGAGGAAUUCAUGGAUCUCAUCCCUAUCCUCACCAGGGCGCUGGUCAUCCAAACCUGUACCUCCUCUGGCUGGCUCCCAUCCUGUUGUUGUCCAGUGUCACAGGCCUCUCUUCAUGUAUUUCUUAUGUAUCUCUUGCUGGCAACCUGUUCGAUAAAAUGACUCUGAGAUAACUGCUAUUUUCUGGGUUUGCAGUAGGGAGUAUGGCUGCUGCUGGGGUUGCAAAUCCUACCGACUUUGGGGAAUCUUUGGUGAGGGAGCACUAAGCACCUUCAAUUUUGUUCUGUUCCUGUCCCUCUUGAAUAAGGAGGUAGUAGUGCUGUCAAGUCUAAGAUGGUAUGCCGUGAUUGCAAAUAAGUAGUGUAAUACAAUACUACAAUGCUGAUUCUACCCUGAGGCAAACACCUAGCUCCUGAUAGGCGUGUGGGGCCCACCCAAGGAGCCCAACGGCAACCACCCUCCGUGGAGAUGCGGGCUCACUUGAUUGAUGUUAUUCUGCCUCGGUAGACAAGACGAUGUUGAAGAAGUAGUGCAGCGCUGAGUAUGUGCUUGAGAAAAUUCUGGGUUGAGACAAGAUCAGCUUAGAGAAACUUGGCACUCGUGCGUGAGCGCUGUACUACCGUGGAGCAAGGGUGAUGUACUAGGCACAUGUUCUGUAUUCGAUAAGAAUUCAGCAGCUCUUAUUGCACCGCAAAUUGCCUCACCGUUGCUCCUGAAGCAUUUGCAGAGUUCCAAGGCAAAGUAAGGAAGGAAAAUUUAAGAUGUAAAUCUUAGGAUAUGAAGUACAGUGUUAUCUCUUUUUCAGAAUUGAACAUUAUUUUUGUACAGCGUUGUUUGAUUAAAGGUGUCUUUGAAGUGGUAGAUUUUCUCUCGUGGUUGUGUAAUUCGUGGCCAUGUACACCAAACAAUCCUUUUAGUACAUGUAGUUUAUCAAAUUUCAUAGCAGGAGAGACCACUCAUUGUUUCAGUUUUGAGUUUAUAUUAAAUGACUGGUUUUAGAUCUUGAUAUA